GUACCAAUGUAGGUUACAGUAAUCGUGGAUUCCUGCCCUUCUUUGUUUCUUUUAACAAUAGAUUAGCCAUUAGAUAAAUAAGCCAGACUGGCGAAAAAGGGACAAAAACAUUAAUUUUUGGGACGUUGUCGUUUAUUUACA